rnacentral:rRNA from 1 species
UGAAUACGAGACGCUAAGGCGUCGAAGUAGUGUAUGUCAUACUUCCAAGAAUAGCUUGCACUGUCAUAGAUAAAAAACGCCUGUACCAUAACCGACACAGGUGGGUAGGUAGAGUAUACUAAGGGGCGCGAGAUAACUCUCUCUAAGGAACUCGGCAAAAUAACUCCGUAACUUCGGGAGAAGGAGUGCCUUAUUCGUAAGGUUGCAAUAACAAGAUCCAAGCAACUGUUUAUCAAAAACACAGGUCUCCGCUAAGUCGUAAGACGAUGUAUGGGGGCUGACGCCUGCCCAGUGCCAGAAGGUUAAAGAAGUUGGUUAGCAAUUGCGAAGCUGAUAACUGAAGCCCUGGUGAACGGCGGCCGUAACAAUAACGGUCCUAAGGUAGCGAAAUUCCUUGUCGGGUAAGUUCCGACCCGCACGAAAGGCGUAAUGAUUUGGAUACUGUCUCGGAGAGGGGCUCGGUGAAAUAGACUUGUCUGUGAAGAUGCGGACUACCUGCACCAGGACAGAAAGACCCUAUGAAGCUUUACUGUAACUUGAAAUUGAAAUUGGACUUUAUUCGCGCAGUAUAGGUGGGAGGCGUUGAUUAUAAUCUUGUGGGAUUAUUGGAGCCAUCAGUGAGAUACCACUCUUGUAAUGUUAGAUUUCUAACUUUGAAUCAUUAUCUGGUCAAAGAACAGUUUCAGGCGGGCAGUUUGACUGGGGCGGUCGCCUCCUAAACGGUAACGGAGGCGUACAAAGGUUUCCUCUGAACGGUUAGAAAUCGUAUCUAGAGUGUAAAGGCAUAAGGAAGCUUGACUGUGAGACCUACAAGUCGAGCAGGGACGAAAGUCGGUCUUAGUGAUCUGACGGUACUGAGUGGAAAGGCCGUCACUCAACGGAUAAAAGUUACUCUAGGAUAACAGGCUGAUCUCCCCCAAGAGUUCACAUCGACGGGGAGGUUUGGCACCUCGAUGUCGGCUCAUCGCAUCCUGGGGCGGUAGUACGUCCCAAGGGUUGGGCUGUUCGCCCAUGAAAGCGGUACGCGAGCUGGGUUCAGAACGUCGUGAGACAGUUCGGUCCAUAUCCGGUGUAGGCGUUAGAAUAUUGAGAGGAGCCUUCUUUAGUACGAGAGGACCGAGAAGGACAUACCUCUGGUGUACCAGUUAUCGUGCCAACGGUAAACGCUGGGUAGCUAUGUAUGGAGUGGAUAACCGCUGAAAGCAUCUAAGUGGGAAGCCCACCCCAAGAUAAGUAUUCUCA